UGGGGAAUUUUGGACAAUGGGGGAAACCCGUGAUCCAGCCAUCCCGCGUGUGCGAUGAAGGCCUUCGGGUUGUAAAGCACUUUUGGCAGGAAAGAGACGUCGCGGGUUAAUACCCCGCGAAACAUGACGGUACCUGCAGAAUAAGCACCGGCUAACUACGUGCCAGCAGCCGCGGUAAUACGUAGGGUGCAAGCGUUAAUCGGAAUUACUGGGCGUAAAGCGUGCGCAGGCGGUUCGGAAAGAAAGAUGUGAAAUCCCAGAGCUUAACUUUGGAACUGCAUUUUUAACUACCGGGCUAGAGUGUGUCAGAGGGAGGUGGAAUUCCGCGUGUAGCAGUGAAAUGCGUAGAUAUGCGGAGGAACACCGAUGGCGAAGGCAGCCUCCUGGGAUAACACUGACGCUCAUGCACGAAAAGCGUGGGGAGCAAACAGGAUUAGAUACCCUGGUAGUCCACGCCCUAAACGAUGUCAACUAGCUGUUGGGGCCUUCGGGCCUUGGUAGCGCAGCUAACGCGUGAAGUUGACCGCCUGGGGAGUACGGUCGCAAGNUUAAAACUUAAAUAAAUUGACGGGGGUCAUAGCUGUUUUCCCU
rnacentral:rRNA from 1 species